GGAAUAGGGUGCCAUACUGGUCAAAGCUAGUGUGCUUUAUAGGGAAUAGGGUGCCAUACUGGCCAAAGCUAGUGUACUUUAUAGGGAAUAGGGUGCCAUUUCAGAAGCAGGUGUACAGGUGUGAUGACUAACUAGUGUCUAACUGCUGUGUAUUUGUGUUUCCUAUGUUUUGACUGGCUGGUUAUCAUAUAUUCUGUUGUUGUUGUCUUCGUUUUACAGACGUCAUAGUAUUUAUAUAAGUUACAUUCUCGGAUUCAACAUGUUCUUUAGACUAUGUAGCAAGGUGGUAUUCAGUACAGGGACAUGGUAGCUAUAGAACGUUGUGAUCCUCUUAGAACAAGGUGUUCUCAUUCUACUGUUCCAACAGCGAGGUUCUUUCAGUGGAACCCCCCCCCUAUUGACUGUGUUGUCUAGUGCUUCAGUCAUAGGAAGGUUUUUUUUCUGUGAUAUUGUGACUAAUCUUUAUUUGUGCUUUUAUAAUUGUAUUUUUUUUGGUGUUAGGAUAGAUCAGUCCUCCUCGCCCGCCCCCUGAGAUUACACAUGACGCAGACGAACAGGUGAUGGAGGCGUGUGAUUUAUAGAAGAAGAGAAAGGAGAGAGAGAGAGGGACUGACAAGGUGUCACACUAACUAACUAGCUAACCUAUGACUAUGUUAUUACUAACUACAGCAUUACAUCACAGCCAAACCACACACACACACACACACACACACACACACACACACACACACACACACACACACACACACACAACCAAAUCGACCAGAUCGACACAGUCAGUACAAAUUCACAGCUGAUCAAAUAAAAUGAAAAUUACUUCAUUGUUCAACAUGUUCAAGAUUAAAACCGUAAAGACAAGGAAAAUCAUAGAACAAAAAGGGUAAACAAUAACAAAACAACAAUAACAAAAACACAAUAAUAACAAGCAUUUGUAACAACAAUGAUAUUAUCAUACGAGAUGAGUUGGCAGUUGGAAUGUUUGAGGAAUAAACAACAUGAAUAAAAUAACUUAAAGCUAUGAUCACAUACAACAGGCCUUUUGUCUCUCUGCCUUCCAAAUGGCACCCUAUUCCCUAUAUAGUAUCUGAUCUCUGAUCAUGGCAGGGGGUCCUAGGUCUACUAUUCCUAUCCCCUAUCCCUACCCCCUAUCCAUAUCCCUAUCCCCUAUCCCCUAGCCCUAACCCCUAGCCCUAACCCCUAUCCUCUAGCCCUAACCCCUAUCCCCUAGCCCUAACCCCUAUCCUCUAGCCCUAACCCCUAUCCCCUAGUCCUAACCCCUAUCCCCUAGUCCUAACCCCUAUCCCCUAGCCCUAACCCCUAUCCCCUAGCCCUAACCCCUAUCCCCUAGCCCUAACCCUUAUCCUCUAGCCCUAACCCCUAUCCCCUAGUCCUAACCCCUAUCCCCUAGUCCUAACCCCUAUCCCCUAGCCCUAACCCCUAUCCUCUAGCCCUAACCCCUAUCCCCUAGCCCUAACCCCUAUCCUCUAGUCCCCUACCCCUAACCCCUAGUCCCCUAGCCCUAUCCCCUAGUCCUAACCCCUAUCCCCAGUCCUAACCCCUAGCCCUACUCCCUAACCAUAUCCCCUAACCCCUAUCCCCAAGCCCUAUCCCCUAGUCCUAUCCCCUAGCCCUAACCCAUAUCCUCUAGCCUUAACCCAUAUCCCCUAGUCCUAUCCCCUAUCCCCUAGCCCCUAGUCCUAUUCCCCAGCCCUAUCCUCUAGCCCUAACCCCUACCCCCAAGCCCUAUUCCCUAGCCCUGUCCACAAGUCCUAUCCUCUAGCCCUAACCCCUAUCCUCUAACCCUAACCCUAUCCCCUAUCCCCUAGCCCUAACCCCUAUGCCCUAGCCCUAACCCCUAUCCCCUAGUCCUAACCCCUAUCCCCUAGUCCUAACCCCUAUCCCCUAGUCCUAACCCCUAUCCCCAGUCCUAACCCCUAGCCCUACUCCCUAACCAUAUCCCCUAACCAUAUCCCCUAACCCCUAUCCCCAUCCCCUAGUCCUAUCCCCUAGCCCUAACCCCUAUGCCCUAGCCCUAACCCCUAUCCCCUAGUCCUAUCCCCUAUCCCCUAGCCCCUAGUCCUAUUCCCUAGCCCUAUCCUCUUGCCCUAACCCCUAUCCCAUGUCCACUAGUCCUAUCCCCUAGCCCUAUCCUUAUCCCCUAUCCUUAUCCCCUAGCCCUAUCCCCUAUCCUUAUCCCCUAGCCCUAUCCCCUAUCCUUAUCCCCUAUCCUUAUCCCCUAGCCUUAUCCCCUAUCCUUAUUCCCUAUCCUUAUCCCCUAGCCCUAUCCCCUAUCCUUAUCCCCUAUCCUUAUUCCCUAUCCUUAUCCCCUAGCCCUAUCCCCUAUCCUUAUCCCCUAUCCUUAUCCCCUAUCCUUAUCCCCUAGCCUUAUCCCCUAUCCUUAUUCCCUAUCCUUAUCCCCUAGCCCUAUCCCCUAUCCUUAUCCCCUAUCCUUAUUCCCUAUCCUU
rnacentral:lncRNA from 1 species